rnacentral:rRNA from 1 species
AUACGUAGGGGGCGAGCGUUGUCCGGAAUGAUUGGGCGUAAAGGGCGCGUAGGCGGCCCGGUAAGUCUGGAGUGAAAGUCCUGUUUUUAAGAUGGGAAUUGCUUUGGAUACUGUCGGGCUUGAGUGCAGGAGAGGUAAGUGGAAUUCCCAGUGUAGCGGUGAAAUGCGUAGAGAUUGGGAGGAACACCAGUGGCGAAGGCGACUUACUGGACUGUAACUGACGCUGAGGCGCGAAAGUGUGGGGAGCAAACAGGAUUAGAUACCCUGGUAGUCCACACUGUAAACGAUGAAUCCUAGGUGUAGGGGGUAUCGACCCCUUCUGUGCCGCAGUCAACACAAUAAGCAUUCCGCCUGGGGAGUACGGCCGCAAGGUUGAAACUCAAAUGAAUUGACGGGG